rnacentral:rRNA from 1 species
CGCGUAGGCGGCCAUUCAAGUCGGGGGUGAAAGCCCAGGGCUCAACCCUGGAAUUGCCUUCGAUACUGUUUGGCUAGAGACCGGAAGAGGUAAGUGGAACUGCGAGUGUAGAGGUGAAAUUCGUAGAUAUUCGCAAGAACACCAGUGGCGAAGGCGGCUUACUGGUCCGGUUCUGACGCUGAGGCGCGAAAGCGUGGGAGCAAACA